rnacentral:rRNA from 1 species
CACGUGGGUAACCUGCCCAAGAGACUGGGAUAACACCUGGAAACAGAUGCUAAUACCGGAUAACAACACUAGACGCAUGUCUAGAGUUUAAAAGAUGGUUCUGCUAUCACUCUUGGAUGGACCUGCGGUGCAUUAGCUAGUUGGUAAGGUAACGGCUUACCAAGGCAAUGAUGCAUAGCCGAGUUGAGAGACUGAUCGGCCACAUUGGGACUGAGACACGGUCCAAACUCCUACGGGAGGCAGCAGGG